CUGGCUGCACACAGAAACAAAGGUUUAUAAACCGAUGUAAACUAGCAAUAAAAAGUAAACUGGAAAAUAAAAAAAUCACAGCAGCCGACAAAUUCUGCAUAUAAAUACUCGAAUAAAACAGUAAAAAGGGAGAGUUUGCAAUUUAAAUCUAUUAGUAGAUAGAAACUGAAGUUUUAGAUUGAAUCGAGGAUAGAAAUUGAGAAAUUGGGUUAGAAAGUAAAGUGAAAUAAAAGAAUCAGAAAUAUUCGAAGAAUUCCGUGUCGGAUGAUGACGACGUAAAAAUUUUCACUUGGAGAUACGUGCAAGCUUUCCGGGCAGCAAGGCAGACUAAUGGACAGUGGUCAGUGACCUAUAGGGCCCAUAGUGUGGGUCACAGAUAUUUAUUAUACGUUCUAGACAUUGACUAGACAGCCGACACGAGCACUAGUAUAUACCUCAUUCGUCUCGUCUAGCAGGGAAGUGUUAAUGCAUUUGUUUUAUAUCUCGAAUUUUAAUAUCUCCUAUUAAAUGAAUUUUUACUUUCGAAUGUUUCAUCGAACAGAGAACAAUCUGUUACGAUAACGAUAAGUACUAAUUAACUACUAAUUAAACUUGCAGAAGAGAAGACUUUCAAGUCUAUCUAUGUAGAACUUGCAUCGACGAUCAGGUGAGAUUACGGGAUUGCAUAAUGGAAGUUCUAAGUCAUUAAACCCGGCAGGAAAAAAAGGAGGAGCGUCUUUUCUCUACGUCACUGGCAAGGAUUGCUUCACUGGACGCCCACUUGGACCUUUAAGCGCAGCCAAUCGCGCGUCAACGACCUCGUUGUUGCUCGACAAACAACCAGAAGUAGUUUUCCUAAACAAUCGACUGGUCAGGUUACGGGAAUGGUGACCACGUGGGGUUAGACGUGCAAAAGGAAACGUGAAAAAAAUAAAUUUCUUUUUUACGAGUUUCAACUUGUCCCACUUCUUUUGCAGAGGAACCCCUUUAGGGAAGCGGAAGAGAUAGAAGGAUGAGAGUAUUUGGACGAAAUCUCGCCACGAAAUCUUGAUGGGUUGUAUUCCAUUCUAGACAUGCUCCUUAAUCUAGCCACGUCCAAGUCACGCAUUCUACAGCGUCUCGUUGCGUACGUGUCACGUCUGUCUGCCGUCUGGGAAAGGGAAGGACUCGGGUGUCUGGAGGCCGUUGCAUCAUGAGAAUGAAUCCAGUGAUCCUUCCCGAGUACCGUAUUAAGAAAAUUGACUACGUUACGCCGGUUUUGUAACAGCCUUCGGACGAACACGAAGUAGCGUCGGCACGUGGAAAUCUAGACAAGAAGAUUUCUUCAAUUUCUUCAAGGAUCUUUCAUUUUUAUUAUUACGAAGAACUUAUUGUACAGAUGGACAGGUCUUCGAUCAACGAGGCGAAUAUUGUUUUACAAAAUAAUCUUUAAAAUAUUAUAAAAAGUUUCAUAACUUUUAGGAGAAAAAACUUGGAAGCUGUUCUGGACGAAAAAAAUUAACGCGAGAAGAUUGGUAGGUGGCGGAGGUCAGAAGGCUGAAGAAAAUGUUAGAUCGCGGAACGGUGAACGACGACCUGAUUAACGACGUCAAAAAAUGCACGUUGCAUCGUCUGGCGGUGAGGUGGGGAGCCACUGACGAAAACUUCCUCCUCGCUCUCCGUUGCGUAUCUCGCAUCAUCUUUGUCGGCAUAGGAAGAGAGACGCAUAGACAAGAAAAAUAUCAGCGAGGAAAAGGGAGGCGAAGCAGUUGAAGAAGCGGACGCUGGUCAGCCCGAGGCGUAGAAAUUCAGUGGCGCUUCGUGGUUCUUCGUUUCAUCACGGUAUUUUUACGGGCCAUCGAGAUAUUUUUACGUGGCGGGGGCAAUGAUUCGUCGAGAACGCCUUUGUCGUCAAGUAUUCACGAGCACAGGUCUGGGUUACGUCGUUGGAAAACCGUUUGCCUUUUUCUUUCAUUACAAUAAUUAAAGAGAAGAUUGCCGAUUUGGUUUCAAGGGAAAGAGUAAGAAGGGAAGAAUGCGUGUUACCUUUUCAUGCAGACACAACAUACCUCUGUGGAGAAUAGAUCUCCUGUUGUUAUCGCAAUAAAUCGUAUCUCAUGCAAUACGAGCAAUGAGAUAAUCGUGAUGAGAGAGAAUGUAUUUUUAGAUUAUGCAAGCCAAGCCAGAAGGAAGGCAGCCUGUCGGCCGGGGGAGCAAAACAAAAAGAGUUCGACAGAAUUUAUCUGUCCAUCUUGCUCGGUAAACCAAGUCCCUUACCCAAAAAGCAUCAGAUCAUAGUGCCAUCAGGGUGAAGCUUACCUGUCGAAGCUUGAGGUUAGGUUUCCUCUAAAAGACACAAAAAGCACAUUGUAUAGAUUUUUUUAUUAGACAUUUUUGCAAAGCGAGACACACGAUAAACAACAUUUAAUGUGAAAAAUGAAUGAGACAAAAAGGAACAUAAUGAAUGAAAAAAAUAUCGAGCCAUCUGUGAUUAUUGAAAUUUAUAAUCUUCCCCCAUGAAUCGAAUCUGUACUGAAUUAAUUAAAUAGAAAUAUAUUUUAAUUAUCAAGAG